AGAACCUGCCGUAUACUGGGGGAUAACACUUAGAAAUAGGUGCUAAUACCGCAUAAGCGCGCAGCUUCGCAUGAAGCGGUGUGAAAAACUCUGGUGGUAUACGAUGGUUCCGCGCCUGAUUAGCUAGUUGGUGGGGUAAUGGCCUACCAAGGCAACGAUCAGUAGCCGGCCUGAGAGGGUGAACGGCCACAUUGGGACUGAGACACGGCCCAAACUCCUACGGAAGGCAGCAG
rnacentral:rRNA from 1 species